rnacentral:rRNA from 1 species
UACGUAGGGGGCAAGCGUUGUCCGGAUUUAAUGGGCGUAAAGAGCGUGUAGGCGGCCAUGUAGGUCCGUUGUGAAAACUCGAGGCUCAACCUCGAGACGCCGAUGGAAACCAUGUGGCUAGAGUCCGGAAGAGGAGAGUGGAAUUCCUGGUGUAGCGGUGAAAUGCGCAGAUAUCAGGAAGAACACCCGUGGCUAAGGCGGCUCUCUGGGACGGUACUGACGCUGAGACGCGAAAGCGUGGGGAG